rnacentral:rRNA from 1 species
CUUUUAUGGAGAGUUUGAUCCUGGCUCAGGAUGAACGCUGGCGGCGUGCCUAAUACAUGCAAGUCGAGCGAACAG